UAGAGUUUGAUCCUGGCUCAGGAUGAACGCUGGCGGCGUGCCUUAGGCAUGCAAGUCGAGCGGGCCCCGCAAGGGGCCAGCGGCAGACGGGUGAGUAAUAGUAAGGAAUCUAUCUUAAAGUGAAGGACAUCUCGUCGAAAGACGGGGUAAUCCUGCAUGUGUCGGUAACGAUAAAGGGCUUAACUGCCCGCUUUAGGAGGAGCCUUACUCCUAUCAGCUUGUUGGUGGGGUAAUGGCCUACCAAGGCUAUGACGGGUAGCUGGUGUGAGAGCACGACCAGCCACAAUGGCACUGAGACACGGGCCAUACACCUACGGGUGGCAGCAACCAGGAAUUGUCGACAAUGGACGAAAGUCUGAUCGCGCGACGCCGCGUGAGGGAUGAAGCCUUUCGGGGUGUAAACCUCUUUUGACCUGUCAUCGAGACAGGUAGAAUAAGCAUCUACUAACUACGUGCCAGCAGUCGCGGUAAUACGUAGGAUGCAAGCGUUAUCCGGAUUUACUGGGCGUAAAGGGUCGCGUAGGCGGUUUACCGCAUCUCACUUCAAAUAAUUCCGCUUAACGGGGUUUCGGGUGAGAGAUGGGUAGACUAGAGGAUUGGUGGGGUUUCUGGAACUUUCGGUGUAGCAGUGAAAUGCGUUGAUAUCGAAAGGAACACCAAGAGCGAAGGCAGGAAACCAACCAACACCUGACGCUGAGGCACGACAGCCAGGGGAGCGAAGCAGAUUAGAGACCUGCGUAGUCCUGGCCGUAAACGCAUGAGUGCUAGUUGCCCCGAUUAUAUCGGGGUGACGCAAGUUAACACGUUAAGCACUCCGCCUGGGGAGUACGAUCGCAAGAUUAAAACUCAAAGGAAUUGGCGGGGACCCGCACAACCGGUGGAGCAUGUGGUUUAAUUCGAGACGAAGCGAAAGACCUCACCACGGUUUGACAUGCUAUCGUUUAGUUCUCUGGAAACAUGGAAUGAUCCGCAAGGAUGAUAGCAAAGCUGCUGCAUGGCUGUCGUCAGCUCGUACCGUGAGGUGUUCCCUUAAGUGGGGUAACGAGCGCAACCCUCGCUCCGAGUUAUAUAUGUCUCGGGGGACGGUCCCGACGUAUGUCGGGAAGGAAGGUGGGGACGACGUCAAGUCAGCACGGCGCCUAUGCCGUGGGCCACACACAUCCUACAAUGGCGAAUAACAACGAGGAGCAAGAGCGCGAGCUCAAGCAAAUCUCUAAAAUUUCGCCUCAGUUGGAAUUGCAGUCUGCAACUCGACUGCAUGAACUUGGAAUCGGUAGUAAUCGCGGAUCAGCAGGCCGCGGUGAAUACGUUCUCGGGUCUUGCACACACCGCCCGUCAAGCCAACAAAGUUGAGGGCGGCCGACGUCCCGCGUAAGUGGGAUUAAGCCGAACUCAGCGAUGGGGACUAAGUCGUAACAAGGUAACC
rnacentral:rRNA from 1 species